GACGAACGCUGGCGGCGUGCUUAACACAUGCAAGUCGAACGAUGAAGUUCCUUCGGGAAUGGAUUAGUGGCGAACGGGUGAGGAACACGUGAGAAACCUGCCUUUCAUUUUUGGAUAACUCCGGGAAACCGGGGCUAAAACCGAAUACUCCGUCUCGGCGGCAUCGCUGAGCCGGGAAAAAAUUUUGAUGAAAGAUGGUCUCGCGGCCUAUCAGCUAGUUGGUGAGGUAAUGGCUCACCACGGAAACGACGGGUAGCCGGCCUGAGAGGGCGACCGGCCACACUGGGACUGAGACACGGCCCAGACUCCUACGGGAGGCAGCAGUGGGGAAUAUUGGGCAAUGGGCGCAAGCCUGACCCAGCGACGCCGCGUGAGGGAUGAAGGCCUUCGGGUUGUAAACCUCUUUCAGUGGGGAAGAAGCGAAAGUGACGGUACCUAAAGAAGAAGCACCGGCUAACUAUGUGCCAGCCGCCGCCGUAA
rnacentral:rRNA from 1 species